rnacentral:lncRNA from 1 species
UUCACUCGGGUAUUUGGGGUAUUUUUCAUGUUGGGGUACUAUUCACGACAUACUAUUCCCGAAGUACUAUUUGUGGCGACCCCAAAUCCAGGUACUUGAAACCCGAACUCGGUUCCCCACGAUACCAUUUCUUUAAGCUGAAUAAUACUAAAUAAUAAUACAUUCGAACUUAAUUUACAUAAAGUUUACUUUCCCAGGUACGUGACCUUCAAAAUACAUUCCUUACAAUACCUGACAAUAGAUUCCAUUGUCUUACUAACUAUAACCAUUAACUCAUACUAAUUCUCAUUCGAACAACUUUUCUUUUCCCUUGUUCGUGCCUGAGCCUUCAGGUCGAUCGUAN